AUGUGUUUUAGUUUUGUGUUUUAUAUGAAACAUGGUUUAUCACAGACUAAUGAGCAUACUCGCACCCUAAAGAGAGCAGCCCGAAAAAUGGAGCGCAGCUGGAGGAAAACAAAACUAGAGGUAUUUCGUAUUGCUUGGCGGGAAAGUAGCUACAGAAAAGCAUUAAAAACUGCUAGAUCUGAUUACUUUUCUUCUCUUUUAGAAGAAAACAAACAUAACCCCAGGUAUUUAUUCAAUACAGUGGCUAAAUUAAUGAAAAAUAUAGCCUCAACAAGUGUUGACAUUUCCCAACACCACAGCAGUAAUGACUUUAUGAACUACUUUACUUCUAAAAUCGAUACUAUUAGAGAUAAAAUUGCAACCAUUCAGCCGUCAGCUACAGUAUCACAUCAGACAGUGCACUAUAGACCCCCUGAGGAACAGUUCCACUUAUUCUCUACUAUAGGAGAGGAAGAAUUGUAUAAACUUGUUAAAUCAUCUAAACUUACAACAUGUAUGUUAGACCCUAUACCAUCUAAGCUCUUAAAAGAGGUGCUUCCAGAAGUCAUAGGUCCUCUUCUGACUAUUAUUAAUUCCUCAUUGUCAUUAGGAUAUGUCCCCAAAACCUUCAAACUGGCUGUUAUUAAGCCUCUCAUAAAAAAGCCACAACUUGACCCCAGAGAACUAGUUAAUUAUAGACCAAUCUCGAAUCUCCCUUUUCUGUCCAAGAUACUAGAAAAGGUGGUAUCCUCACAAUUAUAUUCCUUCUUAGAGAAAAAUGGUAUAUGUGAGGAUUUCCAGUCAGGAUUUAGACCGUAUCAUAGUACUGAAACUGCUCUCCUUAGAGUUACAAAUGAUCUGCUCUUAUCAUCUGAUCGUGGGUGUAUCUCUCUAUUAGUUUUAUUGGAUCUUAGUGCUGCGUUUGACACAAUUGACCACAACAUUAUUUUGCAUAGACUUGAACACUUUGUUGGCAUCAGUGGAAGUGCAUUAGCAUUACUUAUAUGUACUUAUAUGACCGCCAUCAGUUCGCAGCAGUGA
rnacentral:lncRNA from 1 species